rnacentral:rRNA from 1 species
GUGCAUAACACAUGCAAGUCGAACGAUGAAACUUAGUAGACUUCUUCGGAAAGACACUAAGCGGAUUAGUGGCGAACGGGUGAGUAACGCGUGAGUAACCUGCCUUACACAAGGGGAUAGCCUUUGGAAACGAAGAAUAAUACCCUAUAAAACUAUAAAAGCACAUGCUAGAAUGGUCAAAGUGCUAGCGGUGUAAGAUGGACUUGCGUCUGAUUAGCUAGUUGGUGAGAUAAAAGCUCACCAAGGCAACGAUCAGUAGCCGGCUUGAGAGAGUGUACGGCCACAUUGGGACUGAGACACGGCCCAGACUCC